rnacentral:ribozyme from 13 species
GAAAACACAGAGAAAAACAUUAUGUAUGUGCAUGGUUCCACAAUCCCACCAUAUCUUUUUUUCAUUUUUUUUGUUCUCCCCAAAACGUGUGUGU